CAAGGCUUGGCAUACGCCGGAAAGCAUCAGAGAUGGUGCCCCCCUUGUGGUCGGUGUACAGGUGGUGCAUGGCUGUCGUCAGCUCGUGUCGUGAGAUGUUGGGUUAAGUCCCGCAACGAGCGCAACCCUUGUUCUGUGUUGCCAGCAACCUCUUUCGGGAGGGUUGGGGACUCACAGGAGACUGCCGGGGUCAACUCGGAGGAAGGUGGGGACGACGUCAAGUCAUCAUGCCCUUAUGUCUUGGGCUGCACACGUGCUACAAUGGCCGGUACAAUGAGCUGCGAUGCCGUGAGGCGGAGCGAAUCUCAAAAAGCCGGUCUCAGUUCGGAUUGGGGUCUGCAACUCGACCCCAUGAAGUCGGAGUUGCUAGUAAUCGCAGAUCAGCAUUGCUGCGGUGAAUA
rnacentral:rRNA from 1 species